rnacentral:misc_RNA from 1 species
AUAAAAUUAUAUUGUUUUGAACAAUAAAGGUUAAAUGAUUUAUUUAUUAAAGAUAAAAAUAUUUUUCUUAAAAAAUAAAAAGUGAGAAAUAUGAAAAAGAAAGGAAAAUAAAUAAAUAGCAGCCCAUUUAGAGAGAAGUAAUUUGAAGACUGAAGAAUCUUUUGGGGUAAUAAGCUCAAUGAAAAUCAUAAGGCAGAAGAGAUUCUUUUGAGGGGGGAAGUAAAU